AUGGUGCAGAGUGAGGACUUGCCAGGGCGGCACAAUUCUGGGCUGGCCACGAUCCAGGGGGCAGCUGACAGCUCAGCCUCCGUGACGGCCCCGACCGUCUUCCCGCUGUCCGCCUGCAACGGCGCCUCCAGCACCACGGCACUGGGCUGCCUGGUGUCCAGCUACUUCCCCCAGGAGCUGUCGGUGUCCUGGAACUCGGGCGCCCUGCGCACCGGCGUGGUCACCUUCCCGCCAGUGCAGAGCGGAGGGCUCUUCUCGCUCACCAGCCUGGUCACCGUCCCCACCUCCAGCAUCUCCAGCCAGACCUACACCUGCAGUGUUGUCCAUCCGGCCUCCAAGACCACGGUCAACAAGGUCGUAGACCCGGACCACCACGUCCCAAACCCUUGCCCCGAGUGCCGCCAAUGUACAGAUGGAGGACCUCUGGUCUACAUCUUCCCGCCGAAACCCAAGGACGCCCUCAUGAUCACGCGCACGCCUGAGGUGACCUGCGUGGUGGUGGACGUGGACCCCAACAACGCAGACAUCACCUUCAGCUGGUACGUGGACAACAGGGAGAUGCACACAGCCACGACGAGGACGGUGAACGAGCGCUUCAACAGCACCCAGCGCAUGGUCAGCACCCUCCCCGUCCUGCACAAGGACUGGCUGCAGGGCAAGGAGAUCAAGUGCAAGGUCAGCAGCCCCCUGCUCCCGGCCCCCGUCGAGAAGGUCAUCUCCAAGCCAAGAGGGCGCGUCCAGGAGCCGCAGGUGUACAUGAUGCCCCCACACCGGGAAGAGCUGGCCCAGCAGGGCAUGGUCAGCCUCACCUGCCUGGUCAGGGGCUUCCUCCCCGAGGACAUCGACGUCGAGUGGCAGAGGAAUGGGCAGCCAGAGCCCGAAGGAGUCUACCGCACGACGCCGGCGCAGAAGGACACGGACGGCACCUUCUUCCUCUACAGCAAGCUCACCGUGCCCAAGGCCUCCUGGCAGCGCGGCGACAACUUCGUCUGCUUGGUGAUGCACGAGGCGCUGCACAACCACUUCACGCAGCGUUCCAUCUCCGUGUCUCAGGGUAAAUGAGCGC